rnacentral:rRNA from 1 species
UACGGAAGGCAGCAGUGGGGAAUAUUGCACAAUGGGCGCAAGCCUGAUGCAGCCAUGCCGCGUGUAUGAAGAAGGCCUUCGGGUUGUAAAGUACUUUCAGUCGUGAGGAAGGUGUUAAGGUUAAUAACCUUAGCAAUUGACGUUAGCGACAGAAGAAGCACCGGCUAACUCCGUGCCAGCAGCCGCGGUAAUACAGAGGGUGCGAGCGUUAAUCGGAAUUACUGGGCGUAAAGGGCACGCAGGCGGUUAAUUAAGUUGGAUGUGAAAUCCCCGGGCUUAACCUGGGAAUGGCAUUCAAGACUGGUUAGCUAGAGUCUUGUAGAGGGGGUAGAAUUCCAUGUGUAGCGGUGAAAUGCGUAGAGAUGUGGAGGAAUACCGGUGGCGAAGGCGGCCCCUGGGACAAAGGCUGACGCUCAUGUGCGAAAGCGUGGGGAGCAAACAGGGAUUAGAUACC